rnacentral:lncRNA from 1 species
CCCUUGAUCAUGAACUCCAUAAAAUCCUUUUCUGACCACGCUCAAUGUGGAAGGUGAAUUUGACAGGCAAGAAGAUGACAUUCACUUAGUGACAUUAUGUGUGACAGAAUUAAAUGACCGGGAAGAAAACGAAAACCACUUUCCAGUAAUAUAUGGCAUUGCUGUCAACAUUAAGACUGCAGAGAUUUACAGAGCAUCCUUUCAAGAUCGGGGUCCGGAGGAGCAGCUUCGUGCUGCGCGAACUUUAGCAGGAGGACCAAUGAUUAGCAUUUAUGAUGCAGAGACAGAACAACUUCGUAUAGGACCGUACUCCUGGACACCAUUUCCACAUGUGGAUUUCUGGUUGCACCAAGAUGACAAGCAAAUACUAGAGAAUCUUUCCACUUCGCCUCUGGCUGAGCCACCCCACUUUGUUGAACAUAUUAGAUCUACCUUGAUG